CGGGGGCGGGCAGCGGACGCGGCCCCGGUCAGGGCUGUUUUAGCGGCUUCCCGUGGCCCUGCGCUGCACCCCGGCUCCGGUAAACAGAGGCGAACGGCGCCUGGGGAGCCACGGUCCCGAUGAACGCAGCUACGGGCUCACAGAGGUGCUCGAGAAAUACGCUGUAACUCUUCUCUCCGCCCCUGGGCAAACAUGUCUUCUUUCUUCGAUGCAGUGAAGAGUUCAGCGCUGCAAGUACCCGUUUUCCCCUCAAUGUGUAGUGCAGUCCAGCUAGGGUUUUUAUUUUGUUUUUAAUAUAAAAAAUUGUACAUUGUUCAAAUAAUAUACAAAGGCUGCUUAGGACAUGAAGGAACUUAAGCUAACACUACAGUGAUGUACAAGUGUUUGUGCUUUCAGACGGCAUCUUUCCCGUUUCCGAGUUCAAACCAGUGAAGCUGCUUUUAACACUCAGUAUAAACCUGACCCCGGGAUAAGCAACACCUGUGUGCAUGGAGUCACGCUCCAGUUAAUUAACUACAGUUCACGUUUUGAGCAUGCCAACUUCAGCUUUUUGUCACUCUUUAAACUUCUCCAGCUUGUUCUUAGAUAAAAAAGAACUCACUCCACACAGAUACUAACCUGAAGAAGGUUUUCAUUUCUUCGUUUACUGGCUAUCUGUAAAGCAACACAACCAGAAGUGCCCUGGGCUGCAAGUGUACUGAUAUUUCCUAAAUGUCUCCUCUGCCUCUAAGACCACGUGAAGAACUUCAGUUAUCUGAACACCACACCUGGUCAGGGCUAGGCAAAUAGAACCUGCUUGGAAACAAGGUUGUUUCAUGGUUACAGAGUAAAUUUUCCAUCACUGUCAGACCUCUUGGCUCUUCUGUAAAGCCUGGUGAUGUCCAAUGCAACAUGAGCUCUUUUUCAAAAGUAGCAGGAAUGCCUAGAUUUACAGGAACAGAAAGUUUAGUUGGUAUCAAGGAUUCAAACACAACCCAAGGAGUUAAUUUAUAUAUACAACAUGAAAACAGAGGUUCAGACACUAUGUCAGUUUAUGCAGUGAUCUCCUAAUAAUAUCACUGAGAGCUUUUGAAAUAACAGUACCAGCCUACUGCCUUCAGGGAACAAGAGACUGACAGUUAAAGGAAUGUUAAGACCUCCUGUUUUUACAUCUUGCUCUGUAAGCAGCAUAAUUCAAACAGCUGCAGGAUAGCUGGAUGAAGGAGAGGUCACUAUCACUAAAGGAAGAUGAAGCCCUCAUUCAAAUAGGAGUGAUGAGAUGGUGAGUAGCAGCAGUUCAUAGCUGCUACUUCAUCAGUGAAACUGACUUAUGUAUACACAAGUCUGUAUUUAGGUCUGGGAAAGAGAAGGCAGAAAACUGCAGGAGUAGGGGGAACAUACCAUGCAACACAUGCAGUUGUCCAAAAUAUCCCAGCCUGCAUGUGUUGUUCAGAGAGCAACUGCAAGUGACCAUACAGUCUGUAAGUAAAUAUGAACUUCCUAUGCUUCGAGGACAUGUUGGGGUCAUCACACCUCUCACUACUGUCAGACAUUCCUUUGGGAUGUCAGACAGCCCUCACAAAAGGUACAGUACUGAGAGGGCUACCAGACCACAUAUGGAGUGGGCAAUAAAAAUUAAGGGAGAGAGAAUGAAUUUAUUGUUCUCUUAAUUUGCCCUGUUCCUUCAUAUACUUACACACAAAUAUAACAUGAUUUCCUGUACUAUCUGUUUUCCUCAAAGAACAAACCUCAUUCAAACUGCCUUAAAUGGAUGGGAUGUACUGUUACCUCCCCCCUCCCCAAAAAAGGGGGAAAAAAAGAAAAAGGAAAAAAAAGUGGCUAUUUCUGUCAUAUUACUUCUGCUUUUCUGAUCACAGGAGCAUGCUUUACACAUACAGAUUUCCAGAGACAGAAGGCAAGACAGACAUUUUUCAAUAGUGACAGAACUACCUAAAUACUUGUUUCCUAAGAACAGUGUAAAGUCUUCAUUGUGAAUCAAGGAAUGUUUUGUAACUUUAGCUCCCUUAAACAGCUAUUCAAAGUUUAGCCAGUAGGUAAAUCCCGUAAUACUGUUAAAUAAGACAGUUGAGACACCGGAACAUAAUUUGAACAUUUAGAGCUUAAUAGCAAGAUCAUAAUACAAAAUUAAGAAUAAAAAUAGGCAUUGUAAUAGUGAGAAUGUAUUAAGGAUACCUUUGUGUCAUAAUGACUUGCCUAACACAACUCCAAUAAAAUACUCUGCAGUGUGUGCAUUGCUGAACUGUAGGUGCUCAUACUCAUUUGAGCAUCUUGUAAGUUAUAGGGAACUCUCCCCCGCCAUAGAUUACAAAGAAUAUUAUACAACAUUCUAUAUCAAAUGCAAAAUCACUUCAUUAUAAACUAUUAUUGCUGUAUUAAUUUCAAAAGUACAAAAUUAUUAAUUAUAUACAAAAAGCCUCCCCAGAAUUUUGGUAAUUAGCAGAACAUUUCAGUUUCUUUAAUUGCUUUCAUUAGAGUAAUUUGUUCAUUUUAUUAACACCAGAUGCAAUAACACAAUGCUAAAAAUAAACAUGCAUUAUACAACAUUUAUAUUUUUCAAAAAAUGUUCAUUACAAUUAGUGUACAAUUAGUGAAUGCACAUGUAACUCUUCCCCCCCACCUUUAGUGAAUUAUUGUUUGAAACAGAGAAAAGGGAAGGAAGAAGAAACCAAACAAUGCUAUUCAGCACCAGUAGAAAGUCAGACCUUUAACAUUCCUGUAUAUCAAAAUCAUUUUAUCCAUGUCACUAAUUAGGUAAAGUUUAUAAUAUUGUCUCAUUUGAAGAUUGAUUUAUAUUUACAAUACUUUAUAGUCAAUAUAUAGUCAAUAAAACAUUUUAACAAUAUUUAAAAAUUCCUUAAAUUCAUAAAAGUAUUGCAGAAAUUUGUAACAUUUACUUAAAUAUAUACAAGGAAGUCCACAUAAAAUUGUCCAUGUUUAUCUGAAGAACUGACAGUUAGGAACCAUCUAA